rnacentral:rRNA from 1 species
AGCCGCGGUAAUACGGAGGGUGCGAGCGUUAAUCGGAAUUACUGGGCGUAAAGCGCAUGCAGGCGGCCUGUUAAGUCAGAUGUGAAAGCCCGGGGCUUAACCUCGGAAUUGCAUUUGAAACUGGCAGGCUAGAGUCUUGUAGAGGGGGUAGAAUUUCAGGUGUAGCGGUGAAAUGCGUAGAGAUCUGAAGGAAUACCAGUGGCGAAGGCGGCCCCCUGGACAAAGACUGACGCUCAGAUGCGAAAGCGUGGGGAGCAAACAGGAUUAGAUACCCUGGUAG